GUCAGCCUGGACGAAUGUGCUGUGUGAAGGAAAUUAAAUUAAAUCAGAUCUGAACUGCGUACAUUUAAGGAACCUGUUCAUAUUUAAUAUGAACCAGUGAUUUUUUGAUUGCUGAUUCCAAGAGAGUCUUUGUGGAAAUCCUGUUUGGCUUUUUGUUAUUUUAAUUCUCUUCUCUGUUUUCCAGAACAGUUCUCCACUGUCGCUGUCCACAUGGGUCAGUGGCGCCAAGAAGCACUGUGCUAAUGUGGGACUCUGACCAGCAACAUCCAGACCCAGACAGCGUUUUCUAUCUCCCAGCUGGAGGUUUUGUUUGUCUGUGACUGGAGAGUCAGAUUUUUGUUGAGCUUCACACUUGCAGAGGUUAAUACACUCUACUGAUCCCUGAUGGGAGAAUCAUCAAUUUUGGCAACAAAGAAGCCUGGUGGAUGUUUGUUUACAGUCUGAUGAUGGGACAUCAUGCUCUGCAUCUUCAAAGUUUGUCUCUUGAUUAUUAUUCAUACCCAGUAAUGUGAAGUAUGCUCAUAUCUACUAUAACUGAACCAACCUGGUGCUCUUCAUUUAUGGAGGCUGUUGAGUCUGAAUGUUGGAUAUUGUGUAUCUCGUGUUCUCUGGGCUUUGUUGUCCUCAGUCUUUUUGCAGGACCAGAAAACAAAACCAGGAGGCGCGUAAAUGUUUCUUCUCCAUGAUGUUUCUUCAAAUGUUUCUUCUGGAUGAUGAUAAGACUGUGACACAGGAUGCCACCUUUGGUCUUGUGAUGAAGCAAAGCUCAGGAAGAAGUGUGAUUAAAUGGUACCCACAUGUGUGCUGCUGAGAAGGAUGUACAGGGGCACCUGCAGCCAAAUCCAAGCCUCAGAGCAGAGCAGCAGUUUGUGCUCACAGAUGGUGAC